AUUGAACGCUGGCGGCAGGCCUAACACAUGCAAGUCGAGCGGAUGAACGGAGCUUGCUCCUGCAUUCAGCUGCCGACGGGCGAGUGAGUCCUAGGUAUCUCCCCGUCAUCUUGGGCUUACGUCAGGACGCGGGCGCUCAUACCGCAUCAGUUCAUAGGGACAACGUGGGGGAUCUUCGGACCUCACGCUAUUAGAUGAUCCUAGGUCGGAUUAGCUAGUUGGCGGGGUAAAGGCCUACCAAGGCGACGAUCCGUAACUGGUCUGAGAGGAUGAUCAGUCACACUGGAACUGAGACACGGUCCAGACUCCUACGGGAGGCAGCAGUGGGGAAUAUUGGACAAUGGGCGAAAGCCUGAUCCAGCCAUGCCGCGUGUGUGAAGAAGGUCUUCGGAUUGUAAAGCACUUUAAUUUGGGAAGAAGGGCAGUAAGUUAAUACCUUGCUGUUUUGACGGUACCAAAAGAAUAAGCACCGGCUAACUUCGUG
rnacentral:rRNA from 1 species